rfam:Dipodomys ordii contig_25918, whole genome shotgun sequence.
UGGCUCAAUGGUAGAGCGCUUGCCUUGCAUGUAUGAGGCCCUGGGUUCGAUUCCUCAG